rnacentral:rRNA from 1 species
UACAGAGGGGCGAGCGUUGUUCGGAAUUACUGGGCGUAAAGGGCGCGUAGGCGGAUUGUUAAGUCAGGGGUGAAAUCCUGGAGCUCAACUCCAGAACUGCCUUUGAUACUGGCGAUCUCGAGUCCGGGAGAGGUGAGUGGAACUGCGAGUGUAGAGGUGAAAUUCGUAGAUAUUCGCAAGAACACCAGUGGCGAAGGCGGCUCACUGGCCCGGUACUGACGCUGAGGUGCGAAAGCGUGGGGAGCA